GGUCAAUGGACGAGAGUCUGAACCAGCCAAGUAGCGUGCAGGAUGACGGCCCUAUGGGUUGUAAACUGCUUUUAUAAGGGAAUAAAGUGAGUCUCGUGAGGCUUUUUGCAUGUACCUUAUGAAUAAGGACCGGCUAAUUCCGUGCCAGCAGCCGCGGUAAUACGGAAGGUCCGGGCGUUAUCCGGAUUUAUUGGGUUUAAAGGGAGCGUAGGCCGGAGAUUAAGCGUGUCGUGAAAUGUAGACGCUCAACGUCUGCACUGCAGCGCGAACUGGUUUCCUUGAGUACGCACAAAGUGGGCGGAAUUCGUGGUGUAGCGGUGAAAUGCUUAGAUAUCACGAAGAACUCCGAUUGCGAAGGCAGCUCACUGGAGCGCAACUGACGCUGAAGCUCGAAAGUGCGGGUAUCGAACAGGAUUAGAUACCCUGGUAGUCCGCACGGUAAACGAUGGAUGCCCGCUGUUGGUCUGAAUAGGUCAGCGGCCAAGCGAAAGCAUUAAGCAUCCCACCUGGGGAGUACGCCGGCAACGGUGCAACUCAAAUGAAUUGACGGA
rnacentral:rRNA from 1 species